rnacentral:tRNA from 1 species
GGUGGCUCAGUGGUAGAGCGCUUGCCUUUCAUGCAUAAGGCCCUGGGUUCGAUUCCUCAGCACCA